rnacentral:rRNA from 1 species
UACAGAGGUCUCAAGCGUUGUUCGGAUUCAUUGGGCGUAAAGGGUGCGUAGGCGGCGCGGUAAGUCGGGUGUGAAAUCUCGGGGCUUAACUCCGAAACUGCAUUCGAUACUGCCGUGCUUGAGGACUGGAGAGGAGACUGGAAUUUACGGUGUAGCGGUGAAAUGCGUAGAUGUCGUAAGGAAGACCAGUGGCGAAGGCGGGUCUCUGGACAGUUCCUGACGCUGAGGCACGAAGGUCAGGGGAGCAAACGGG